CGGACGGGUGAGUAACGCGUGGGUAACCUGCCCUAUACAGGGGGAUAACAGUUAGAAAUGACUGCUAAUACCGCAUAAGCGCACAGGACCGCAUGGUUCGGUGUGAAAAACUGAGGUGGUNUAGGAUGGACCCGCGUCUGAUUAGCUUGUUGGUGGGGUAACGGCUCACCAAGGCGACGAUCAGUAGCCGGCCUGAGAGGGCGACCGGCCACAUUGGGACUGAGACACGGCCCAAACUCCUACGGAAGGCAGCAG
rnacentral:rRNA from 1 species